AUGGUGGCAGAGACUAAACCGGCUGCGGGCAGCGGGGUUGCCGGCGAGAUGGAGGUGGAGGCGUACCGCCGCCUUUUCCCGGUGGCCUUCCUUGAGCGCCACCUCAGCGAGUCCGUCCGCAUCGAUUCCCGCCGCCUCAGAGAGGCCCGCCCCACCACCGUCGCCCUCGGCGCCGUCUCCUCCGUGCAUGGUUCCGCUCUCGCCCGCCUUGGCGACACCGCCAUGCUCGCGUCGGUCAAGCUCGAGGUGAUGUCGCCCCCGGCGGAGCACCCAGACGAAGGAUCCAUCGCUGUUGAGUUCCACAUGCCGCCUAUCUGCUCCCCGCUGGUUAGGCCAGGCCGACCCGCUGACGUUGCACCCGUCAUCUCCAAGGCCCUUGAAGACGUUUUGACGAGCUCCACUUUGGGGUCAAUAGUGGCGCAACAAGGUUCUCCGUCGACUCAAGAACCAAGCUGUUAAUGAGGACACCUUCCGGUGUUCAGAUGAGUUUGGAUGGAAACCUCGGGUUGCUUUGUUGUCCAAUUCCUGUUAAUGUUAUUUACACUUACAAAUAAACGUUGCCGUUGCAUUUUGAUGAGUUUCAUUUGUUCCUAUGCAGAGGGCCUCCUAUUGUGCCACUCUGACAAAAGCAUCUCGCGGACGAGAGAGCCUGUUUAGCUACAGCUGCAACUAUCUAUGCCAGCAAAGAGGCUGUAUGGGGGAAGAAGAAAGAUUAACAAUGGAGAAGAAACAACGGUGACGGUGGCUGGUGAUGCAUUCGUGAGCUGGAGCAGGGAUAAUGCUAACGAUGUAAAGGAAAGUACAUCAUCGAGGCUGCCAAUCACCCCAUGGACCCAGAGGCAGACGAGGCAAGUUCAUACGUCAACGGUUUCGGAGGGACUGGCGGUGAAGAAACAGAUUGCUCUUUUUGUAGUGUUUUUAUUUUUUUUCUGAUUCUGGGUCCCUUGUAUCUUGUUUCGUCCCUAGAUCCUGUCAAAGAAAGGUGUCCUCAUCCUCCCCGACAUACUGACCAACUCUGGCGGCGUCACGGUGAGCUACUUCAAGUGUGUUCAGGUAAUCUACAGGGGAACCUACUGGUGUCGUUCCUGGGCGCUGCUUCAAAGGCAUGAAGAUGCAAAGGAGAAGCUAGUCCAUGCUUGCAGACAUCUGGAGAAAGUGGUGAUGAUGGUGUUUGCGGAUAAUGGAUGGCGUUUCUCCAAUCGCAUUACUCUGUAGUUUUUUUAUGUCUUCGAAGCCCUGCGUGGUUUCCCCUUGUUACAGUUUCCUGUGUGUUUGACUCUGUGGUUGUUCGUGUGGAUGUUGUUUAUGUAGAUGUUGGCUCGGACCCUCUAUGGAGGGGGAGGCCAGAACUCUUUUUCCAUUAUCUAAAAAAAU